ACUCAAAUGAAUUGACGGGGACCCGCACAAGCGGUGGAGUAUGUGGUUUAAUUCGAAGCAACGCGCAGAACCUUACCAGCUCUUGACAUGGGACGUAUAGGGAUCAGAGAUGAUUUCUUUCACUUCGGGUGGCGUCCGCACAGGUGCUGCAUGGCUGUCGUCAGCUCGUGUCGUGAGAUGUUGGGUUAAGUCCCGCAACGAGCGCAACCCUCAUCGUUAAUUGCCAUCAGGUUUGGCUGGGCACUUUAACGAAACUGCCGGUGAUAAGCCGGAGGAAGGUGGGGAUGACGUCAAGUCCUCAUGGCCCUUAUGGGCUGGGCUACACACGUACUACAAUGGCGGUGACAAAAGGCAGCAACGGGGCAACCCUGAGCGAAUCCUAAAAAGCCGCCUCAGUUCGGAUUGUUCUCUGCAACUCGAGAGCAUGAAGUCGGAAUCGCUAGUAAUCGUGGAUCAGCAUGCCACGGUGAAUACGUUCCCGGGUCUUGUACACACCGCCCGU
rnacentral:rRNA from 1 species